rnacentral:ncRNA from 2 species
GCCUGUCACUCGGGGUGCCUGACAAAGCGUCGGGCUGAGAGGGCCUUGGCCUAACCCGUUGAACCUGAUCUGGGUCACACCAGCGGAGGGAGCGUGACGGGAAUGGCGA